rnacentral:snRNA from 1 species
GGAAGUGAGGGCAAUCUGACUGUGACAUCUGUCACCCCAUUGAUCACUAGGGUUAAUUUGGCUGAUCUGGCUAGCUAGGCCUGUGUCCCCUCCCUCCCUCAACACUCCAUGUGUUCCUUCCAGAAGCUGUGAGCUUGGUCGAAGAGGAUGACCACUCUGAUGGAGGAGCACCAGUCUUUGGUCAAGCAAAUGCAAACAGCUGCACUCCCCUAUAACCUGCAAAUAAGCUCUCAAAGUGGCCCGGGUUGAACUGGGAUUUCUCUUCCCUCCUGAUAUUAAACAAUGACCAAGGAUAAAGGCAAGUAUUAGCCUUAAAUAUUUG